UUUAUAUUGCAGAUUAUUAUCAUAGGCUUUAACAAGAAGGGAAAUAAACAUAAAUUGGAAAAAAUAUAGAUUCUGAUAAAUAAAUCCUGAAGCAUAUUUAUAUCCUGAAAUAAGAAUAAGAAGCUGUCAGCUGAAAUUAUUACAAAAUGAUUAUCCUUGGAAUUUGGUUACGGAUUGAAAGCACAUCAUUACAUAGUCUAUAAUCUAUAAUAAUCGAGCAUAAUGCCCGAAGUUCACAUUGUAUCCAUAUCCGAGAAAAAAUUCAUACAAUUUUGCAAACUUUUUUCAUGUUCGCAAAUUUAAAGAAUAAUGUAAGGAGCAAGAUCCUUAAGAUUGCCGCUGCUAUAUAUAUUUUAAAUAUGAUUUGAAGUUUUACGCUUGAUCUUUUUAAAUUACAAGGAAUCCCCGUCAACAGACCCGGAGACUACGUUGGAUUAUUUGGAUGCUUUGAAACUUCUACUUCAAGAGAACAUUAAAAUCAAGGGGAAGAAUUAGAAAGCAGAAAAACGAACUGAGUAUGCAAUAAGAAAACAAUAAAUCACUUUUCUAUAAAAUUUAAA